rnacentral:tRNA from 1 species
GAGGGCAUAGCUCAGUGGUAGAGUGCAUGCACAGCAUGCAUGAGGUCCUGGGUUCAAUCCUCAGUACCUCCA